AUGCAGGUCCCCACAUCUGUACCCUAGAGUUCAGAGUGGGGAAGGAACCUUGACAUGGUCUAGAUAAUUAGUCCUGCCACGAAGGCAGGGUACUGGACUAAAUGACCUCUUGAGGUCCCUUCCAAUUCUAUGAUUCUAUGAAAAUAUAUCGGAAGGACAAAACAGGUCAUGAUGGUGGGGGAGUGGCACUAUAUGUGAAAGAGCAUAGAAUCAAAUGAAGUUUAAAAAAAAAAGUAAAAAAUAUUCUGUAUCUUUCUGCUCCUGCUAGGAUAGCUCUAGUGAUAAGUGAGGCAUCCUUGACCCAGCCAAGGUUCUGUGGGAUACACCAGCCACUUAUCUCUUUCCUGCUCUCUGAGAUGUAGGAAGCUAUCAGCAGCCUCAAUGGGUUUUGAGCAGUUCUGUACUCAUGUAAUGCUGGGCACCUUGAUUGUCUCAUCUGCACUUGAAGAUUAAGCGGACAAAGCAUCCCUAAAGACGAAGACCACCUCCCCCUGGAUCUGGAAGGGCCUUUUCUUCAUCAUCACCAUCAUCAUCACUGCAGUUACAAAUCACCAAAUGCCAGGAUCUAUUUGUGAAGUAUAACUUCCUGUUAUAAGGGAAGAGCCUGGGGAAACUGGCAUCCACUUUUAUGUUUGCCUGGAAAAAGAGCCAAGACUGAGAAUACUGGAUACUAAGUCCGUUUCUAUAGAUGAGAGUUGGAUGGUGUCCUCAGUCCCUGCUAUCCUGAUUGGGAGAGUAUUUCACAUAUCUCAGCAACAGAUCGAGAUAAGAGACAGGAGGCGCCAGUACCAGAUGAGCCGGAUGGUCAAGAGCGGAGUGAAGGAAUCAAGAGGUGCCACCCUAAUGAUCAGAAGGGCUGAAGAAGGGCAGAUUGACGACCCUAAAGCAGAGGCAUGCAUCCCCAAGGACGAGCUAAAGCGUGGAGCCAGAGAGAGGAGAUAGAAACAGCUGUGGAAAACAACCCAAAAUAAUGCUGAUUUGGAGCAGCCUUGACUACUUUGUGAUUAAUGACUCCAGUAUGACAUAACACAGCCCAUAGACUCGCAGGGGAACUUAUUGCUAUAAAAAAAGGGUGUAUUGUUAUGGGACUUUGGGUUCAUUUUGCAUCAACACCAGAGCUUCUAGUGCAUUGGACAGAGACUCCAGCUCCCCCUCCCUUCCUUGUGUGUAGUUUCAGCUGGCUACUGAAACUGACCGAGCAAUGCUAAGGACUGGUAACUAUAAGAUCCAGCUGCAGAACCUUUGGAGUGUGUGUGUGUGUG